GGGGUUGUAGUCAGUGGUAGAGCACUUGCUCAGCAUGCAUGAGGUCCUGGGUUCAAUCCCCAGUACCCCA
rnacentral:tRNA from 1 species